rnacentral:tRNA from 1 species
GCCUGGCUGGCUUAGUUGGUAGAGCAUGUGACUCUUGAUCGCAGGAUCAUGAGUUCAAGACCCCUGUUAGACU